UACCUAACUGGGUUAGGGCCCUGGCUCCAUCUCCUUUAGGAAAACCUUCUGUGGGGAGUGGGGCUUUGACCCUAACCCAGUUGGGCU
rnacentral:pre_miRNA from 1 species